UAAUAAUGAGAUUUAAAGUCAUAAUUACGAGAUUUUCGACGGUUAGCCUGCCCCCUGACCUCACUUCCUUCAAGUUCGAAAUCGGCACGACAGAGCGGCACGCGCUACUAGGCUACCAGUCGGCGCCAUCAUUUCGGACCUGAGGCUGAUGAACCUGCAAGUCAUCACUUCUCUCGGUCAUCCUCCUAUUCGCAAGGCGAAACAGCAAGGAUGGAUGAGUUGUGCGAGUUCUUGAGGUCGCGGAAUGUACCAGAAGAAAACAUGCAGCAACUGGAAAACGAUAAGAUCGAUCCCAAUGUCCUCCUGCUCAUGAACGACGACCAGUUAACCGAGUAUCUACCAUCAUAUGGAGACCGACUGGCUGUCCUUGGAUAUUGCAGAUUGAAGGGGAAGAAUCCUGUUGCCCGCAAAUCAAAACUUUUUGAGCGACUGAAAGCCAAGGUAGCAAAAAGUGAGGAUCGUGAACACUUGUCUGAGAAGUUACCAUGUCAAAAUGCUCAGAAGAAAGAGCGUAAAAUUGAAAUUGGCUGGUUGAAUUUCCGUGACGGGAAAUUCUUACAAAUGAGGGCCAAAAAGGGGGGCGGGACCAGGAAAAUCUCUGUGUUCAAGAAUUGUUGUAAAGA